CUGGGUGUCCAAACAGGAACAGUCGGAGCCUCCACUUAAAACUGGCUUAAGUGGAUCCACUUUGCCAGGGCUACCCGGUAUAUACUCCGUUCGAGGCUACUCAAACAAACCAACAAGUUGUCUCGUCGUCUGGACUCCCCGUUAGUUGGAAAUUGAAUUUUAAAGAAAAUUGCGCGAGCGUGAGUGUUUUGGAAAUUCUUUAAAAAUGCAAAGAAUUUUAAGCGUGGAGACGAGCAGGAGUUUUAAUCAAACCAAUUCGGAGUUCGUCACUAAACGAUUUUGUUGCAGUUUUUUGUUGACUGUCGCUUUUUUCUCGGUUUUGGGAGGUUUCCUGCUGGGAAAGUUCGUCUCUGACAAGUCUCUAAACGAGGUGCAUAAAGAGAUGCAGGAUCUCUCCAGAAAAGUGGAGUUUUUGAACCUGAACUUGCAAAAAACAUUCCAGAGCGUCAGAUCCAAUUCGUCGGCGAGCCAGGAAAAUGCGUUUUUCAGCUGCAAUUUCACGAAUAUCGGGAACAAUCAGACCGGAAUGUUGAUGGCAAAUGUUUACCUGAAUGAUUUGAAUAAUUGUUUCAAUUAUGGAUGAUUUUUAAAAAAAAUUAUCUUUGGAUUAACUUUUUUGCUCUGUGAGCUCUUUGACGUAUGGCAUGUGAGGGUCACAGUUUAAACAGUUGAUGUUUUUGAAAUAGUGCAUGUUAGUAAUUUAGACUGUAAGCUUUUGUAAUGAAACAGUAUUAGUUUCAUUACUUUUUAUUGUUGUUGUAAAGUUUGUAAUUAUUAGUUUGUUUUCAGUAUUUAGUUAAAAUAGGAAUGAUUCACAGUCUUAAAGACUGAAUCUUUGCAAAACAUUAAAGAGUCGACAUAUACUGCGAAUAAUUAUAAUAUUUUUGUAUAUAAAAAAUUGUUCUAUUUAUUUAAGAAUCUUGUAUAUGUGUACAAUGAGUUAUAAUUAUGUAAACUUAAUAUACAUACAUAAGGGAAAGUUUAAAAAAAAAUUUGGUUUGUA